GCGCACGGGUGAGUAACGCGUAGGUAACCUGCCCUCGUGUUGGGGAUAACAGUUCGAAAGGGCUGCUAAUACCGGAUACGAUCCUGUUUCGUGAGGAACAGGGUGAAAGUCGGCCUCUCGAUGAAGCCGAUGCACGGGGAUGGGCCUGCGUCCUAUCAGCUAGUUGGUAGGGUAACGGCCUACCAAGGCGACGACGGGUAGCUGGUCUGAGAGGAUGAUCAGCCACACUGGCACUGAAACACGGGCCAGACUCCUACGGGAGGCAGCAGUGAGGAAUUUUGCGCAAUGGGAGCAAUCCUGACGCAGCAACGCCGCGUGGGUGAAGAAGGCCUUCGGGUCGUAAAGCCCUGUCGGGUGGGAAGAAUAGGCGGAAGUUGAAUGGACUUUCGCUGUGACGGUACCACCAGAGGAAGCACCGGCUAACUCCGUGCCAGCAGCCGCGGUAAUACGGAGGGUGCGAGCGUUAUUCGGAAUUACUGGGCGUAAAGCGCGUGUAGGCGGGACGGUCAGUCUGAUGUGAAAGCCCCGGGCUUAACCCGGGAAGAGCAUUGGAAACUGCUGUUCUUGAGUAUCAGAGAGGAAGGGAGAAUUCCCGGUGUAGAGGUGAAAUUCGUAGAGAUCGGGAGGAACAUCAGUGGCGAAGGCGCCCUUCUGGACGAUUACUGACGCUGAGACGCGAAAGCGUGGGGAGCAAACAGGAUUAGAUACCCUGGUAGUUCACGCUGUAAACGAUGAUCACUAGGUGUAGCGGGUACUCAUUCCUGCUGUGCCGUAGCUAACGCGUUAAGUGAUCCGCCUGGGGACUACGGUCGCAAGACUAAAACUCAAGGAAUUGA
rnacentral:rRNA from 1 species